UUUCUACCCCCUUCGUCCGAAAAUACUUGUCAUCAAAAUGGAUAAAAAGAGAUGUAUCUAAAACUAAAAUACGUCUAGAUACAUUUCCUUUUAUCCAUUUUGAUGACAAGUAUUUCCGGAUGGAGGGAGUAUUUG
rnacentral:pre_miRNA from 1 species